UACAGAGACUGCAAGCGUUAUUCGGAUUCACUGGGCGUAAAGGGUGCGCAGGCGGCCGUGUGUGUGAGGCGUGAAAGCCCGGGGCUUAACCCCGGAAUUGCACCUCAAACUACAUGGCUAGAGCAUUGGAGAGGGUAGCAGAAUUCAUGGUGUAGCAGUGAAAUGCGUAGAGAUCUGGAGGAACACCGAUGGCGAAGGCAGCCCCCUGGGCUAACACUGACGCUCAUGCACGAAAGCCAGGGGAGCAAACGGG
rnacentral:rRNA from 1 species